GACUGUGGCAAAUGAUAGUGGAUAGGGGAACCUGCAGGGCCCCACAGGCAUCCCUUCGUAUCAGGGUGCUCUGCCCAUGCAGGGGUGAAACAGCUCUAAACUCACCCCAAGAGCAAAAGUGAGCAGAGCUGGAUGGAGAAGGAGGGUGGGCUGCUUUUGGUGUGGAAGAAUGCUGAGACCAGCAUUCAAUUUUGGUGCUGAAGAAUGCUGAGACCAUCCAGACUCAUCAAUCCCAAAGUUAGCAUCACAGGAGCAAAAGAGCUUUGCCCAUGAUCCUUGCUAUGGAUUACCCAGGAUGGCUCUGUCAGCUGCCUCUGUCAUCACCUCACAUGCAGAUGCUGACGUGACAGAGCUCAGCAACUCCACAUCACACACAGACAUCCGCCCGCUCUGAUCAAAGGCCCGGGAGAAUCAGCACAGACUGCCAUGGUACCCAGGGGACAUGGAAGUGAUGGAAGCACAUCAUCCUGAGGUUUCAGCCCACACUGUCUGUGCUUUAUUUUUCUCAGAAUGAAAUAAAACAGCACAAGAUUUCAAAAACUGGUUCAGAUUUUAUUAUUUUGCCUCGGUCUGACUUUGAUGAAGAUGUUAAAGUACCAACAGACUAAUUAAUGAUGACAAAACAGUAACAAAUAACAGUGGAUCCAGCUUGAGCAAACAGCAGCAGGAAGAAUGCUGAGGUCGUAAGAAUUAACAGAUGAUUAAAGAUACAUUGGGCUACGCCUUAGUCAUGGACUGAAAAUGUCAUUAAAAAAAAUCAUCAAACCCUCUAUAAAUAACUUCAUGAUUAUUUCUCAGGGAAAUUGUCGUGUAUUUCAACACUGCUCAAUUGUUCCUUUUCCUUCCUCAGCAGAAGACUGAAAUAUUUACUAAAUUAUUUAAAUGUUAUUUUAUAGACCACUAUCUAUAGAAAAAGUAAUGUUUUCAGCAUACACAGCUCAGGGAAUAGCAACAAAAUUUUAAUCUGAUUUAAAAUGAACUACUUUUGAAACAACAAAACAAUGAGCAAAAAACCCACAAGGACUGGUUCUAAAAUGAAGUAAAAUUCUGAUCAAAAUGGGGGAUAACCACUGCUUUUAUCCUUAUACAACCAAACCCAGAGUUUAGCACAGGGUAUUUGAUUCUGCCAUCAAAACAUGACUUGAUUCUUUAUAUUACAGAACUAAAAUAAAUUACUUUGGGCUGUAGCCUCCCCUUGGAACCCAAGGUAUACAGAGUUUAUUUGCACUGCCUUCUGCCUACUCAGCACAGCCACAUCCAGCAGCCUGAUCAUGUGCUCUGCAGGACGAGCCACAUCCUUCAUUGCCAAGGAGAAACACGGGCACAGCCAACCACAGGGACAGCAUUCCCUUGGCUUUCCAUAAACCAUCCGGGAUGGAGGUGUUGAAUGAUCCCUGCCUUUGGAACAGUUCUGAGGGGCCAGGCCCUGCGCUGGGGCAGCACGCUCGGCACGCGGGGCUCAGGGGACACGGCAGCUGUGCCCAGCCCUCAGCAGAGACCCCCGGAAUGCUUCGUGUUGGAAGGGCCUUGAGAGCCCUCCUGUUCCACCCGCCU